rnacentral:misc_RNA from 1 species
AUUUUCAUUUAUAUCAUUAACCAACUAAAUUACAAGAAUGAAAUAUUUUUCAAUGAAACUAAGCUUUCAUUGUAAGCAAAAGCUUGCAAAGAGUAGCCAUUUUUUUGUUGGCUAAGAACCUUAUUGUUCUUUAAAAAAGGAUCAAAUAUGUCCAAUUGAUAUGUAACAACUUCAAGAAAAAUUUCCCCAUUUUUUCCAUAUCCAAUUGAUCUUUUGAUAUUUAAAAAAG